CUUCCCUCACGAAACCUCGCCGCCACGUCACUUCGCCUGGCUCCCCACUCCCCAGCAGCUCGAGUGCCCCCGUCCCCCAUCGCCGGCGGACGGCGCCGACAGGAUAAUGCGCUCACAGCUAGGCGCCGGCGCCAGCACCGGCACUGCAUACAAGUUCUGAGCGCUCUUGACCGGCCGCCGGCCUCCAUUGCUCCGGCUAGGUCGCAGGUAUAGCUCCAAGAAUAGGUGUCUUGUGGUGUCUGUUGAUGGCCAAUAGCGAGUAUGAGUAUGCAAAGAGUGAGUUCGAGUUCAACCGCCGCCGCCCAGCCUCCAACUGGAUUGUCAUCCACAUCGAUGGCUGCCAUUUCCACCGUUUUGUUUUCAGAGAGGAAACAAAUUUCUUCAAAGAUGAGGAAGAUAAAGAGUUGAGGGAGCCUCCCUAUUUUGAUGGCCGAGCUGUGUGCUAUCUAAAUAUAACCUCCGUCCCAAAUUACUUGUCUUAGAUUUGUCUAGAUACGGAUGUAUCUAACACUAUCGUAUCUAGACAAAUCUAAGACAAGAAGUUCGGGACGGGGGGAGUAUGAAGACCAUUUGUGAUUAUUUGGCCUGGAGGCAAGUGGACUGUCAUAUAAAUAAUCAUUAUGAUACUAGAUGGUUCUGGAUGCUAGUGAAAUCUGGAAAAACUGAAAAGGAGGCACAAGAAAUAUCGUAGGGAAUAUUUGCGAAGGACAAGAACGUGUUGCUUUUGCAGCAGUUCCAGAUCAUCUAUUGUGAUGAACCAACUAUGUUCCGAAACGGGUCCAGCAUUUACCGAGAUAAGGUGUAGCUCCAAGAACAGGUGUUUUGUGGCGUGUAUUGAUGACCAAUAGCGAAUACGAGUAUGUGAAGAGGGAAUUCGAGUUCGACCGUCACCUCCCAGCCUCCAACUGGAUCAUUGUGCGCUUCGAUGGCUGUCAUUUCCACCGUUUUGUUUUCAGAGGGAACAUAAUUCUAUCACAGAUUUCUCUACCAAUAAUUGCAGCAAAAUUCUCUCUGUGUGUGUUUCUUACUUCACAUCUGUGUAUGUGAUGAAGUGGAAAGAUUUCUUUCCCAAAUAAAGAGUUGAGAGAGGCUCCAUAUUUUGAUGGGCGAGUUGUCUGCUAUCCAAAUAUGAAGACGAUUCAUGAUUAUUUGGCAUGGAGGCAACUGGACUGGAACAUUUCCUAAGGACAAAAACGAGUUGCUUUCACAACAGUUCCAAAUCAUCCAUGAUGAUGAACCAGCUAUGUUCUGAAAAGGAUCCAGCGUUUAUCGAGAUAACGUAAAGGUGUCAACCAUACAAAAGGAAAUCAUCAUUAAUGUUCCUACUCAUUCUCACUGAGAUAUUUUCCAUGUUUCUGUCGCAAGAUAUCGUUUGCACGAUUUAUACAAAUGACCAUCAUAGUUUCUAAUCAUAACUUGGUGCAGAGAUCAACCUAGCAUUUCUGAAUUCGCAUCUGAUAUCCAGAUAGUUAAAUGUAAACAGUCUUGCUAUACAUUAGUUUUGAGGGAUAAUCGGAACUCCUUAUUUGGCAUUUCACGCCAUUCCCUUGUCUGAUAUUGGUCGAAUGAUAUAAUUCUUCUAAUCAGUUGUGCAGAUUACAUAAUGUAUUUCUUUUGUGGGUCUGAUUGUUGAAUGAUGUUAUUUUGUGGGACAUGUUUUCCUCAACUCUUAGUUAAGAUCAAUUAACCCUGUAAGGUGCUCUUUCGAAUACCAAACGGUGAAAAUCGACGACUAUGGGAAUCCCAUAGAAAGAACCCGGUUGGCAAUUACAGUGUCAAUUUUUGAUAACAUAGGACCUGAGUUUUGGGAAAAACGUCAAAACAUUCUUCGAGAAGGUUAGUUGAAUCACUAUAGUUUUAGCAAUGCUUCCAGUCCAACUCCAUUCAACUUUUGAUAUAUACAACCAGUACUGUAUACAACAUCGGUCUAACUGUGUGUUUGGGAGAAGAAAAAUAUAGAUACGAGUAUAUUAUAAGAAGUACGAGAACAUCCAUAGGCUUCCAUGUUGUAACUUAACUGUUGUUCGUAUCAGCGCCUGCCAAAUUGAUCAGUGAGGACCCCUAGUUUCCUAUUUAUGGAAUGUAUGCUCCAAUGCCAUUUACAGUUUCUUGUCGACGGUAGUACAAUAUGUAACAUCUGAAUUUAUCUGUUCAUCUACACCAGUAUGUAUGCAUUAAAUUUAGUUCUUGCUUAGUGUUUUACUGUGAUGAAUACUUAUUAAUGCCCUUGUUCCUUCAUUUUCUAAUAGUAUCCUGAUGCAAGGGCUUAUUACUGUUGUAGCUAGUUAGAACAACAAACCAUAAGAAAAUGAGUUGACUACUUGUACAAUUCACAGGCCACAACAGGAUCCAGUACAAGACAUGCUUUUGGAUGCUAGUGAAGUCCCGAAAGGGCGAAAACGAAGCUUGCGAUAUGCUGAAGUCUUCUUUCAUCAUCUACGUCAAAGGACAAGAACGAGCUGCUCUUUCAGCCAUUUGAAAUGAACUACAACAACGAACCGGCCAUGUACUGAAAGGCUUCAUGUGCUUACCGUGUAAAGGUGGCGGCUCAGGACAUGGUAAUGCAGCAUCGGUGGUGGCCUGCGGUGCAUCUUCUCCUUCCGCAGCGUCCGGGAAGACGAGGGGAUCCGGCAGUCUGCUGGGUACCCUGCUUAGCACCCCAGGCACAGCCCGCGUGCGGUGCUGCUGGAGCUAGUCAUCCCCCGGCGUCGCUUCCUGGCAUCUUCGCGUGGGUGUUGCGUCCGGUCCUUGGUCCUGUGCACCCACCUCGCCCGGAGCGGAGGGAGUCCUGCGGGCACCAGAUGUGCGCAGCAGCAGCCUUGUCUUCGCCACUGAUUGCGUGCACCAGCUCAUCCCCACCCACGCCUGCUUCGUGUCUCUCCCACUCCCGCGCCGACAUGUUAUCCGUUCCAUAACCUCCAGAUGCCUCUGAAAAUAUGGCAUGCUAUCGGUUCCUCGGCGACGCGCUGGUCUCGUGGUCGUUGCAGCGCCAGCCCACGGCCUCCCGCUCCAGCGUGGAGGCAGAGUACCGUAGCGUGGCCAACGCCGUGGCCGAGUGUGUCUGGCUUCGACAACUCCUCCGCGAGCUCCGCUGCGCGGUCACCACUGCAUGCAACGCUGGUCUACUGCGACAACAUCUCCACCGUGUACCUAUCCAGCAACCCCGUUCACCACCGCGACACCAAGCAUGUCGCUGGACAUCCAGUUCGUCCACGAGCACGUGGCUCUCGGUGAUUUCCGUGUUCUCCACGUCCCAACGCGGCAACAGUUCGCCGACGUGAUGACCAAAGGGCUGCCGGUUGACGUGUUUCAUGAUUUUCGGUCCAGUCUUUGCGUCGUCACGACUGCAGGGGGUGUUAAACCCUUGUAUUUUGUACAUGAGUUUUGUAUGUAGCAAUACAGUAGGGUAGCAGUAGUGUACGUGUGUGCAGUUUUGUAGUCAGCACACACGACCUCCACCUCUCGAACAUGGCCUGACCAUGAUCACCAUCGCGGGCUCACGCCCUCUGUUCCCCCUGUAUAAGUCUAACCUUGAUCAAUGCAAUCGGUGUGUUCCCCCUGUAUAAGUCUAACCUUAA